rnacentral:rRNA from 1 species
CUGGGCGUAAGCGCACGCAGGCGGUCUGUCAAGUCGGAUGUGAAAUCCCCGGGCUCAACCUGGGAACUGCAUUCGAAACUGGCAGGCUAGAGUCUUGUAGAGGGGGGUAGAAUUCCAGGUGUAGCGGUGAAAUGCGUAGAGAUCUGGAGGAAUACCGGUGGCGAAGGCGGCCCCCUGGACAAAGACUGACGCUCAGGUGCGAAAGCGUGGGGAGCAAACAGGAUUAGAUACCCUGGUAGUCCACGCCGUAAACGAUGUCGACUUGGAGGUUGUGCCCUUGAGGCGUGGCUUCCGGAGCUAACGCGUUAAGUCGACCGCCUGGGGAGUACGGCCGCAAGGUUAAAACUCAAAUGAAUUGACGGGGGCCCGCACAAGCGGUGGAGCAUGUGGUUUAAUUCGAUGCAACGCGAAGAACCUUACCUACUCUUGACAUCCAGAGAACUUUGCAGAGAUGGAUUGGUGCCUUCGGGAACUCUGAGACAGGUGCUGCAUGGCUGUCGUCAGCUCGUGUUGUGAAAUGUUGGGUUAAGUCCCGCAACGAGCGCAACCCUUAUCCUUUGUUGCCAGCGGUUCGGCCGGGAACUCACAGGAGACUGCCAGUGAUAAACUGGAGGAAGGUGGGGAUGACGUCAAGUCAUCAUGGGCCUUACG